UACGUAGGUGACGAGCGUUAUCCGGAAUUAUUGGGCGUAAAGCGCCCGCAGGCGGCUGUUCAAGUCUGACGUGAAAUCGCUCGGCUUAACUGGGCGGGUCGUUGGAAACUGAAUGCUUGAGGCAAGGAGAGGGCGUGGAAUUCCCGGUGUAGUGGUGGAAUGCGUAGAUAUCGUGAGGAACACCAGAGGCGAAGGCGGUUACCUGGACAGUUACUGACGCUCAGGCACGAAAGCAUGGGGAGCAAAGGGAUUAGAA
rnacentral:rRNA from 1 species